CCACGUUGGCGAGCACAUGGAUUGUGUUUCUUUAGCUUAAAUCUUGACCCUACGAUUAAAUCUAAUGGUCCUAGCUAAUUAAGCUUUUAUCAUUAUUUAAUAUAUAUAUAGAGCUUUUCCUUUUAAUUUCUAAUUUUAUCUUAACCGUUCGAUCAAACGAUUGGACGGCCCAAAUUAAAUCCCAAAAUAUUUUCUUCUUUUCCCAAAAUAUAGUACAACCUCCGGCUGAUUUUCCCCUUUCUUUUCCCUGGACUGCGCCUUAGUCUAGGAAAAAGAUAGAAAAUGUUUUCUCCCAGAACAUCAUCUCCCUCAACGUUCUUCUACACUUUUCAAGAAAAGGACGACGCCUCACUCUUUCUUCUCCUUUCCCAGGCGUCUGCACGCUACACGCUCACUUUCCCCAUGCCUCUUUCAACUUUCCCAUCGUCCGCUGCCAAAGAAACGGCCAUGAAUCGCCGAAAAACAACAAUAUCCGGCGGUCUCCAACGUCACCUCUUCCUCCAUCCGCCGUCCAUCAAUCACAACCCUCCCUCCCUAUGAGCUUUACAUCUUUUCCGAUUUAUUUCUGACCCAAAGCAGGCCUAGAAACCUCAAC
rnacentral:lncRNA from 1 species